GGAGCCGUAGCGAAAGCGAGUUUUAACUGAGCGUUCAGUUACUUGACGUAGACCCGAAACCGGGCGACCUACCCAUGAGCAGGAUGAAGCGAAAGUAAAAUUUCGUGGAGGUCCGAACCCACGAGCGUUGAAAAGCUCGGGGAUGACUUGUGGGUAGCGGUGAAAUUCCAAUCGAGCCCGGAGAUAGCUGGUUCUCCCCGAAAUAGCUUUAGGGCUAGCCUCAAGGUGAGAGAUACGGAGGUAGAGCACUGAAUGUCCUAGGGGGUAUUGCACCUACCGAAGACUAUCAAACUCCGAAUGCCGUCAUCUUAUACUUGGGAGUCAGACUGUGGGUGAUAAGAUUCAUAGUCGAAAGGGCAACAGCCCAGAUCGUCAGCUAAGGUCCCUAAAUGUAAGUUAAGUGGUAAAGGAUGUGGGAUUGCACAGACAACCAGGAUGUUGGCUUAGAAGCAGCCACUCAUUCAAAGAGUGCGUAAUAGCUCACUGGUCGAGUGAUCCUGCGCCGAAGAUUUCCGGGGCUAAAACUUACUACCGAAGCUACGGCAUCAGUAAUGAUGGGUAGGGGAGCUUCCCAUACGGGUUGAAGCAUGACCGUAAGGACAUGUGGACAGUAGGGGAGUGAGAAUGUUGGCAUGAGUAGCGAGAUGUGGGUGGGAAUCCCACAGGCCGUAAACCCAAGGUUUCCAGGGGAAGGUUCGUCCGCCCUGGGUUAGUCGGGACCUAAGCUGAGGCCGAAAGGCGUAGGUGAUGGACAACAGGUUGAUAUUCCUGUACUACCGAUAACCGUUUGAGAGAAGGGAUGACACAGUAGGAUAAGCUAAGCACACUGUUGGUUAUGUGUGCCCAAGCAUUGAGGCAGUCAAAGUAGGCAAAUCCGCUUUGAUAAUGCUGGGAUGUGAUGGGGAGCGAAAUUUAGUAGCGAAGUAGCUGAUUUCACACUGUCAAGAAAAGUCUCUAUCGAGGUUAAAGGUACCCGUACCGCAAACCGACACAGGUG
rnacentral:rRNA from 1 species